CCUACGGGAGGCAGCAGUGGGGAAUAUUGGGCAAUGGGCGCAAGCCUGACCCAGCAACGCCGCGUGAAGGAAGAAGGCUUUCGGGUUGUAAACUUCUUUUCUCAGGGACGAAGAAAGUGACGGUACCGGAGGAAUAAGCCACGACUAACUACGUGCCAGCAGCCGCGGUAAUACGUAGGUGGCAAGCGUUAUCCGGAUUUAUUGGGUGAAAAGGGCGUGUAGGCGGGAGCGCAAGUCAGAUGUGAAAACUCAGGGCUCAACCCUGAGCCUGCAUUUGAAACGGUGUUUCUUGAGUGCUGGGGAGGCAAUCGGAAUUCCGUGUGUAGCGGUGAAAUGCGUAGAUAUACGGAGGAACACCAGUGGCGAAGGCGGAUUGCUGGACAGUACCUGACGCUGAGGCGCGAAAGCGUGGGGAGCAAACAGGAUUAGAUACCCGGGUAGUC
rnacentral:rRNA from 1 species